CCUACGGGUGGCAGCAGUCGAGAAUCAUUCACAAUGGGGGAAACCCUGAUGGUGCGACGCCGCGUGGGGGAAUGAAGGUCUUCGGAUUGUAAACCCCUGUCAUGGGGGAGCAAAUUAAAAAGAUAGUACCACAAGAGGAAGAGACGGCUAACUCUGUGCCAGCAGCCGCGGUAAUACAGAGGGCUCAAGCGUUGUUCGGAAUCACUGGGCGUAAGGCGUGCGGAGGCUGUUUCGUAAGUCGUGUGUGAAAGGCGCGGGCCCAACCCGCGGACGGCACAUGAUACUGCGAGACUAGAGUAAAGGAGGGGGAACCGGAAUUCUCGGUGUAGCAGUGAAAUGCGUAGAUAUCGAGAGGAACACUCGUGGCGAAGGCGGGUUCCUGGACAGUAACUGACGCUGAGGCACGAAGGCCAGGGGAGCGAAAGGGAUUAGAUACCCCUGUAGUC
rnacentral:rRNA from 1 species